rnacentral:rRNA from 1 species
UACGUAGGUGGCAAGCGUUGUCCGGAUUUACUGGGCGUAAAGAGCGCGCAGGCGGUCGCUCAAGUCGCGUGUGAAAGCCCCCGGCUCAACUGGGGAGGGUCACGCGAUACUGAUCGACUGGAAGGCAGGAGAGGGUAGUGGAAUUCCGGGUGUAGUGGUGAAAUGCGUAGAGAUCCGGAGGAACACCAGUGGCGAAGGCGGCUGGCUGGACCUGACCUGACGCUGGGGCGCGAAGGCGUGGGGAGCGAACGGG